GAUCCUGGCUCAGAAUCAACGCUGGCGGCGUGCCUAACACAUGCAAGUCGCACGAGAAAGGGUAGCAAUACCUGAGUAAAGUGGCGCACGGGUGAGUAACACGUGAAUUAUCUACCUCCGAGUGGGGAAUAACUGAGAGAAAUCUUAGCUAAUACCGCAUAACACUUACGAGUCAAAGCAGCAAUGCGCUUGGAGAGGAGUUCGCGGCAGAUUAGUUAGUUGGCGGGGUAAUGGCCCACCAAGACGAUGAUCUGUAUCCGGCCUGAGAGGGCGCACGGACACACUGGAACUGAAACACGGUCCAGACUCCUACGGGAGGCAGCAGUGGGGAAUUUUGCGCAAUGGGGGAAACCCUGACGCAGCAACGCCGCGUGGAGGAUGAAAUCCCUUGGGAUGUAAACUCCUUUCGAUAGGGAAGAUAAUGACGGUACCUAUAGAAGAAGCCCCGGCUAACUUCGUGCCAGCAGCCGCGGUAAUACGAGGGGGGCAAGCGUUGUUCGGAUUUAUUGGGCGUAAAGGGUGCGUAGGCGGUUUGGCAAGUCUUGUGUGAAAUCUUUGGGCUCAACCCAAAGUCUGCAUAAGAAACUGCCGGGCUUGAGUAUGGGAGAGGUGAGUGGAAUUUCCGGUGUAGCGGUGAAAUGCGUAGAUAUCGGAAGGAACACCUGUGGCGAAAGCGGCUCACUGGACCAU
rnacentral:rRNA from 1 species